UGACAGCUUUUCUCGCACAGGAGCAUCAGGGCAUCCUGACAGUCUGGUGUCCAGGAAGUCGUGUUCCACACUGGGCCCCAAGGCCACCUGCGGAGAGAGGGUGGGAUGGCGAUGGUCAGAAGCUCCCUGGCUGCCCGCCCCUCCACAAGGUUCCGGAGACCCCAUCACGCUAAGAAGCUGGUCCCCAGGGCCUCACCUGGGCACUGGUGGUCGCCUGCUCCGGCUGCUUGUCUUCACGGACUCGAAUGAACCGAGGGAAGCGAAGGGAGAUGCCCUUGUCACUAUCCACCUGCGGAGGCGGGAUGGAGACUCCUGCGGUCCAGUCCCCACGACACCCUGCUCCUAGUCUCCUCCCUGCUCCACUCUGGACUGGUUCCUGAUCCGCUCGAGGGCGCCGAUCAGUGGGUUGUCGUAAGGAUCAACCACGUUGACAAAGUGCUUGGAACCACACCCAGUGCACAAUUUGCUGCUGUUGGGAAGAAGCUGGGAGUUUCCCAGUGCUGGGCAUGGGCCAGCGUUCUCCCUUGUAUACAACAGUGUUUCGGGAGUACUGAAGACUGAAGCACCAGAGACACAAGUUAGCCAAGGAGUCUUAAAACCUGCUAGCAUGAGAGUUCAUUAUGGUUGAGGAAGAAACUGCAGCCAAG